GACGAACGCUGGCGGCGUGCUUAACACAUGCAAGUCGAACGGAAAGGCCCCUUUGGGGGUACUCGAGUGGCGAACGGGUGAGUAACGCGUGAGUAACCUGCCCUUGACUUCGGGAUAACUUCAGGAAACUGGGGCUAAUACCGGAUAGGAAUCCUUGCUGCAUGGUGGGGGUUGGAAAGCUUCGGCGGUUUUGGAUGGACUCGCGGCUUAUCAGCUUGUUGGUGGGGUAGUGGCUUACCAAGGCUUUGACGGGUAGCCGGCCUGAGAGGGCGACCGGCCACAUUGGGACUGAGAUACGGCCCAGACUCCUACGGGAGGCAGCAGUGGGGAAUAUUGCACAAUGGGCGGAAGCCUGAUGCAGCAACGCCGCGUGCGGGAUGACGGCCUUCGGGUUGUAAACCGCUUUCAGCAGGGGCGAAGCUUGUGGUGACGGUACCUGCAGAAGAAGCACCGGCUAACUACGUG
rnacentral:rRNA from 1 species